GCAAACAAAAAAAAAUAGCUCAGUGGCAGAGCGCUGGUCUAGUAAACCAGAGGUCGUGAGUUCGAUCCUCACAGGAGGCA